CGGCCUCGGAGCGGACGGAUCCGGGAGGGAGCCAGGCGGGCCAUGGGGAGGGGCAGGGGCUUAGCCGCUGGCGAGUGAGGACCGGGUCGGGAGGAAGGGGUCACACCUGGAGUUCAGCCUCUUGGGUAGGGGCGGGAUACGUGGGGCGGCUCGAGGAGCUGCCAGGACUAGGGAGGGCUGCGGGACAAGACGGGGCGGGAUCUGGAUGACGUUUGCCCCUAAGACGCCGCGAGGAGGCCAGGCUUUGCAACCAUCUCCAUAAAGAAGGGGCAAGUUCGAGGACGGAAAGCCCACUCAAAGGGCGGGGGGCGGGGCCUGGCAAGAGGGGGUGUGGCCAGGAUCCCAGGCAGUAAAUUGUGUGGCGGGGUCUGGAUGGAAAGGCGGGGCCCGCUGAAAGAAGGCGACCCGAGUUCUGCUACUUCCUAGUAAGGGACGUCUCUGGAGAGAUUCUGAGGUGUUUGAGGCCACCCAUGGGCCUUGGCCCCGCCCCCUACUCAUGGCUGGCAGAUUCGUGGCCCCACCCAUCUCGAAGCCCCUCGGCCCAGGAACCCAGGGGAAGCUGCUGCCCUAGCAAUCCUGACCCGGACGACAGAUAUUACAACGGUGAGGAGUUCUCAUUCCCUCACCUGGCUUCAGCGCACUUCUCCCGACCUACUGGGGCAAACCGAAGGGCGCCCGGGAGCCCGGUCUCUCUGAGGUUGGUCAGUCCCUGGGGAGGAUGUGAGCUGGGGAAGCCUCUCUGACCUACCUCCACCCUGGUUUAGGAUGUAAGGCUUGUGUGGGGGAAGAAGUUGAUCCCGUGGGAUUUCCCUUUGUCUUCCAUCUGUUGUCCUCUAUGUUUCUGUCUCUGCUUCCGGGCCUCCCUCUUUCUUCUCUGCAGAAGCAGGAAUCUCCCUGUAUCUAGCUCAGACGGCCAGGGGCACGGCCGCCCCUGGCGAGGGUCCUGUCUAUAGCACCAUUGACCCAGCGGGGGAGGAGCUGCAGACCUUCCAUGGGGGCUUCCCCCAACAUCCCUCAGGAGAUCUGGGCCCCUGGAGCCAGUACGCUCCUCCAGAGUGGAGCCAGGGGGACAGUGGAGCCAAGGGAGGCAAAGUGAAGCUUCUGGGGAAACCUGUGCAGAUGCCCUCUCUGAACUGGCCAGAAGCCCUGCCCCCACCUCCUCCUUCUUGUGAACUGAGCUGCUUAGAAGGGCAGGAGGAGGAGCUGGAGGGCAGCUCAGAGCCAGAGGAGUGGUGCCUGCCAAUGCCUGAGAGAAGUCACCUGACGGAACCCAGCUCCAGUGGAGGGUGCCUGGUCACUCCAUCCCGAAGGGAAACCCCCUCUCCCACACCUUCCUAUGGACAGCAGUCCACAGCCACUCUUACACCCUCACCUCCUGACCCUCCCCAGCCCCCAAAUGACAUGCCCCAUCUCCAUCAGAUGCCCAGGAGGGUGCCCCUUGGGCCGAGUUCCCCUCUCAGUGUAUCCCAGCCCAUGCUGGGCAUCCGUGAAGGGAGGCCUGCUGGCUUGGGUGCUGGCCCUGCAGCCUCACCCCACCUCAGCCCCAGUCCUGCCCCUAGCACAGCCAGCAGUGCCCCAGGCAGAACCUGGCAGGGGAAUGGGGAGAUGACUCCCCCACUUCAAGGACCCCGUGCUCGAUUCCGGAAGAAACCCAAGGCUCUUCCCUACAGGAGGGAGAACAGUCCUGGGGACUUGCCCCCACCACCCUUGCCACCGCCAGAGGAAGAGGCGAGCUGGGCCCUAGAGCUGAGGGCAGCAGGCAGCAUGUCCUCCCUGGAGCGGGAGCGCAGUGGGGAGAGGAAAGCGGUCCAGGCCGUGCCCCUGGCCGCCCAGCGGGGGCUCCACCCAGAUGAAGAGGCCUGGCUCCCAUACAGCAGACCAAGCUUCCUGUCCCGGGGCCAGGGCACCAGCACAUGUUCCACGGCCGGCAGCAACUCUUCCAGGGGCUCCAGCAGUUCUAGGGGCUCCCGGGGCCCUGGCCGGAGCCGGAGUCAGAGCCGGAGCCAGAGCCAAAGGCCAAGACAGAAACGCCGAGAGGAACCAAGAUGACCCUUGUUGGGGCAUUGAGAAUAUCAUGAGUGCCACGGGGAAGGGGAGUAGGAUGUCUUUUCCCUCCCAGCAGUGAUGAGUGGGGCUAGCUGAAGCCCAUUGGUUUCCACGAUUUCAAUUGGCUGAGAAGGCAGAGAGCUAGCUCCUCCCUUUCUUUCUCUUUCCACCUGAGACUUGUUUAUAAAAAACAAAACAAUAAAAAGAGUCUGAUCAGA
rnacentral:sRNA from 1 species